rnacentral:rRNA from 1 species
AUUGAGCGCUGGCGGCAUGCCUUACACAUGCAAGUCGAACGGCAGCGGGGGAGAAGCUUGCUUUUCCUGCCGGCGAGUGGCGAACGGGUGAGUAAUACAUCGGAACGUGCCCUGUAGUGGGGGAUAACUAGUCGAAAGAUUAGCUAAUACCGCAUACGACCUGAGGGUGAAAGGGGGGGACCGCAAGGCCUCAUGCUAUAGGAGCGGCCGAGGUCUGAUUAGCUAGUUGGUGGGGUAAAGGCCUACCAAGGCGACGAUCAGUAGCUGGGCUGGGAGGACGAUCAGCCACACUGGGACUGAGACACGGCCCAGACUCCUACGGGAGGCAGCAGUGGGGAAUUUUGGACAAUGGGCGAAAGCCUGAUCCAGCAAUGCCGCGUGUGUGAAGAAGGCCUUCGGGUUGUAAAGCACUUUUGUCCGGAAAGAAAUGGCUCUGGUUAAUACCUGGGGUCGAUGACGGUACCGGAAGAAUAAGGACCGGCUAACUACGUGCCAGCCGCCGCAGUAA